ACAUGGCUGGCGUCACACUGUAUCCAUAAGUGUUUUCCAAAGUCUGGAUAAGCUAAUACCGGCGCACAGGCAGUCCGUGAGCGGCGCACUUACACCGGAGAAAUUUUGAAUGAAUCUGCGAUACCAGCCUGCGGUUCCUAAGAAGCUGCGUAGUUGUCGCGUAUUUUUGGGCACCUCUAUCUUCAUAAUCGCCUCAACUUUCUUCGGAUCCUUACGCAAGGCCCUAUCACCGAUUAUGAAUCCUAAAUAUCGCAAGUAUUUAAAACAAAAUUUUGACUUGUGUAGCCCGAUCGUCAAAUUUGCUUUAUUCAAACACUCUGCCACUUCUUUCAGCAACAUGCAGUGUUCUUCGAAAGUCUUGGAUAUUAUCAGCAAGUCAUCCAAGUAUACAAAGACGCGGCUGCGAAGACGCUGUGGGAUUACCUUGUCCAUUACCCUACACAACCUUUGAGCCGAAUUACAUAAUCCGAAUGGCAUCCGUCGAAACUGAUAAAGUGGCCUUCCAGAACGCAUGUUUCAAA